UGUGCCAAGAAGAAGGGUCAGGAGUCAGAGGAGGCUCAGUUCGGGAAGGGGUGCCUUGGGCUGCGGUCACUCACCUCAGCUGAGGUCACAGCCCCAUACUGACCCUGGACGGAGAAGCCCUGUGGGGACAAAGGCAGCACCUCCAGGAUAACAGCACAGAUCUGGCGCACACACAAGAUGAUGGCAUCAGGCACCCCAGAGACGGUGACAGCACGCUCUGUGGAGUUGGGGAGCAGGUCCCCUGCCACCUGCACCUGGGCACCUGUAGUCUGCAAGCAGAGAACGGGGGCCACUUUCAGCUACUCCCAUAACCCAGAGCAUGCCUAGGCUCGGAGCUCCCCACAGGACAGGAAGCUGUAAGCCCAGGUCUCCCCUUGAAACUGAAGGCCAUUCUGUGGAGUCAGAGUCCUGUUCCUCCCGGGGAACCACCUGUGGCCCCCAGCCCCUCAGACAGCCACAGACCUCAUCCAGCUUGAAGGCAAUCAUGGAGACUGCAUGGAAGACG